rnacentral:tRNA from 1 species
GCGGGGGUGGCGUAACAGGCAGCCGCGCAAGAUUUAGGUUCUUGUGCCCGAAAGGGCGUGGGGGUUCGAGUCCCCCCUCCCGCA